UUUUUUUUUUUUUUUUCUGUUGCACUAGAGGAUGAAAUCUGGCAGAAAAUAAACCCAGUUGCAUUCCAGCUGGUACUCAGAGAUUAGAGUGGCUGGAUACGGUUGGGCUUCAUUUCUGAUUAUGACCAAUUUGGCUCUGUAAGUCUGAUUUCACUCAGUAAGGACUUGCACAAUUGCUGAUUCAAGAGUAGUGUGGUUUACUGAAGCACCAGAUUAUUCAUGUUCUGAAUUGCUGCUGUUAAAUGUACUUACCCUGUUAGCACUAAAUAUACUGAGGCCAAUGACUAACUGCACUCUGUUCGCUAAGCUCAACUUCACCCUUUAUUAAGCUUAGUUUCACCUGGGUGUGCUCUGAUGCUGUCAGAAGCACAGAUCACAGGAUAGAGUAAUAAAAUAUAAAGUUCCACCAAGUGUCAUUCCAUGAUCAGGUGGAGUUUGAGUAACUUUGGUCACAUCUGGGAAGCACGUGCAGGUUUUCCUUCAUUAACAUAUGACAGGGCAGCAAAUGCCACUGGUUUGGAAAAGCGAUAUGUAUUUUUGAGCUAAUAAAGCAAAGUUCAGGUUUCAAGCACCACCUGGGUUCUUUCUUCGGCUUAGUUCCCAUUGUAUUAAACAGAGUAUGGCCACAACACCUCUGUGCCACUCCAGUCUUUGUUUUCUGCCUCUGUCAGGGCAGCACACCAAGCUCCCUCAGUGUCCCUGCUCCUGGGGCUGCAGUUUGUUUCUGGUGAACAGUUGCUCACAUAGAUAUGUGUCCUUGCUGAACUUUUUAUUUGCGUAUUUCUCAUAGGAGAUGAUCAUCCCAGAAACCCACUAGAGUUCCAUAGUGAAAAUUAAACAAGUUGGGAACAGCAUAAGAAAAACCUUCUCCCAACUUCACCAAUUUCCUGAGCAGAAAACCAUGUAAGAGUUUCAAACACUCUUGAAGGUCAAAUGUCAUGGUUCCAUCUUAGCUAAAACAGAUAAUAAUUUCAGGAAUUUCUAGAUAUGUCUGUAUAUGGAUUGUACUUGGAUAAUUAAAUGUCUGAGACUCUUUGCUUGCUAAUGGAAGUUUUUCCAAAUUUAACAUAAGAAAUCAUUUCUGCUCCACCACCUCUAUCCCCACCACCAAGGGCUAGUUUGAUCAAUUAAAGAAAUUUGUCAGCAGUAAACUGAUUACAAUGCCUUUGACACUUUUGGAGGAGGAGAAGGAAGAAGGUGGUCAAAUACCAUCAAUUAACAGCAUUUGGAAUUGAUAAUGCAAAAUGUUAAUCACAUUCCUUCUCUGUAGAGCAUCUGGAUUAGUCAAGACAGCCAAAUAUAAACUCUUUUCUUAGCUUGAAAGUGGCUCAUUACUAGUUUAGUAUACCUAGAAAUUAUCUAGGAGAUAAGCCAGUAUUUUUAUACAAGACUUCUUUUCCUUCCCUGAGGCCUUAAAUUUGACACUCAUUAAGCUGCAGAUACCUUUGUGACAAGAUUGAUACACAGAUAAAAAAGUAAGAGGGAAGAGUUUGACUUCGGUGCUUCAGCAUGGAGUGCAUGAGUUCCUACAGUUCAAGGAAAAUUACAUAUACAGUUUUUAGAUUUUCUUCCUCUAAAACUUUUCCAUUUUAGAAAGAUUUGUUUGUGUGAUCUAAUACCUAUCUAUAUACUGCCUAGAUACACAGGCUAAAUCUGUGCUGUCAGUAAACACAACACUAAGCACCCAAAAUGAGAUUGCUCUAACCUUUCUGUUACAAAUUAUUUACUGAUCUUUUGGAACAGAUCCCAUAACUCGCCUUAAAGCAUGCUAAUUUUGAAAUGUUCUGGGUAACAGUCCUUCAGAGUAAAUACCCAUUGCAUUCCCAAAUGGCUGCCUGCAAGAGCAGCUCCCUUUCUUCUUGAGGAAGGGCUGCAGAUCUCCAAAAAAACUUCCAAGCUUCUGCUGGUUCCUCCAUCAACAGAAUGACCAUCUCUAGCAGCCCAUAAUGUGUCUCAUUGUCUCAGCCCACAGUGCCAGCCUUAGGCUAUUUCUGUUACCUUAUCUAUUUGAGAUCAAAACCUCCACCUCUAAGAACAGCAACUUCCUCCUCUGGCCCACAUCCAAUACCAGGACAAGGACUGGGGAGACAAAAAGUAAAACUUGUGGGAGGAAAGAGAAUGGUAUUUCUACUUCUACUUUCUCUCUUGCUUGGAAUUGCAGCCGACUUGGCAAUAUGUGCACGGAGAAGUUUUACAAAAUUCCCUUUUCCUCAGAGCA
ensembl:lncRNA